UACGUAGGGGGCAAGCGUUGUCCGGAAUCAUUGGGCGUAAAGCGCGCGUAGGCGGUCCGGUAAGUCCGCUGUGAAAGUCAAAGGCUCAACCUUUGAAAGCCGAUGGAUACUGCAGGACUAGAGUCCGGAAGAGGCGAGUGGAAUUCCUGGUGUAGCGGUGGAAUGCGCAGAUAUCAGGAGGAACACCAAUAGCGAAGGCAGCUCGCUGGGACGGUACUGACGCUGAGGCGCGAAAGCGUGGGGAGCAAACAGG
rnacentral:rRNA from 1 species